GAUCUCAAACGCUGAGAAGAAUAUUAAAAUGAAUAAUUUUUUAUCUAGGCUAUUCAGAAUUAACGAGAAUCUCCAAAGAUAAUGGUGUGUGCAAUAAGAUAAUCCAUUGUAUACUCAUUCAGUCAACCAUUUGGUAACUCUAAAGGAAAGCAAUCAUAUUUACAUUCCUGUUUCCGGAAAACGUGUUACGUGAUGCUUUGAGUACGUUAACCAGCUGGAAAAAAAAACAACUGAAACGGCACAGCAAACAAACAAAAUGGCGCCGACAGAGACCGUCGGGCAGGUUCUCUCCGCCGUGCUGUUGCUGUCCUUGUCGGCCUCCCCUGUCGGGGGCGUCGUUCUUCUGCCCAAUGGAACUCUCGACUUGACGGCGUGCAGCUGCGUGCCCUCGGGACAGUGCAUUCUUCAUCCGUUCCUGCCGACGAGUGACAUAGAUUUCAAGUGUCCAAGACGAGGUGAUGUAUGUUGCGUUCCUGAUAGUAUUGUGAUAGGUGAGUAAUCGAUGAGUAAUGGGUAAUGGGUGAGUAAUGGGUAAGUAAUGGGUAAUGGG